rnacentral:piRNA from 1 species
AACCUAGUUACUUACGGGCUCGACA